UUAAAAGAAGAGGAGAGGACACACAGACAGCACACACAGAGGACAACAUAAUAUGAAGAAGUCACGAAAUACCAAGAAUUGCUAAUAACCACCAGAAGAUAAUUUACAAGUUUCCAAGAAAGAGAGAGAGAAAAAAAGUGGUUCUUCUAUUCAAGAUUUAAGAGUGUCAUGAUAGUACAAACAUAUGGAAAAAAAAAAAAAGCAAUGUGCUGAGAAGUGAAAAGGCUAAUCUACGCACAGGAAAUUACAUAUAUACCGUGAUUGCAGAGAGAAAAGUGUACCUAAAUAUGUGAGGAAGAGUCCGUUGGAUUUUCACAGGUUGAGUUCUUCACACUGGAUGGCCAACUUGACAAAGCAGAAGGAGAAGUAUUUGCAAAGGUCAUGUUCUCGUGGUUCCUGAGUUUAAGCCCCCUG